GCCACACUGAAGCACCGGUUCCCAUAUGAUCAUCAAAGUUGAGCAAUGUUGAACCUGGUCAGUACUUAGAUGGGUGAGCACUUGGAAAUACCAGGUCCUGUAAG